AAGACUGAUAUCCCAUUGGACACAUUUGAAAGAGAUGAUAGUGAUGAUGAUAAGGAGGAAGUAUUAUCUUCAGAUCUUUGUCCUCGACCUAUCUUCAUUUCUAAUGAGGUUAUGAAGUUGUUUGGAUUCUACCAAGAGCAAUAUCAGAAAACAGACUGGCAGAAGGUGAAGACAUUUGACAGGAGCAAACGUGAUCGGGUGGACCAUAUUUUGUCGUAUGGUGAAUUUGUGAAGAAGACCGAAGCUGAACUCAGUAAAGAUCUUGAUGUUGCAAGCUCAACCUCCACCAAACCCCCGAUUAAAACUCUGUA